rnacentral:rRNA from 1 species
UACAGGGGGGGCAAGCGUUGUUCGGAAUUACUGGGCGUAAAGGGCUCGUAGGCGGCCGGCUAAGUCCGACGUGAAAUCCCCAGGCUUAACCUGGGAACUGCGUCGGAUACUGGCGGGCUUGAAUCCGGGAGAGGGAUGCGGAAUUCCAGGUGUAGCGGUGAAAUGCGUAGAUAUCUGGAGGAACACCGGUGGCGAAGGCGGCAUCCUGGACCGGUAUUGACGCUGAGGCGCGAAAGCCAGGGGAGCAAACGGG